GGCUGGGAUAGCUCAGUUGGCCAAGCAUGAGACUCUCAAUCUCAGGGCUGUGGGUUCGAACCCCACCUUGGGCA